GCGCUGGGGCAAGCUAUCCCCUACCCAGUGAAGUUGGAUCUUGCAUUCUUCAAGGCGGGGAACCGGUGGAGAAAUCUCCUGCGGGAAAAGGGAGUGGGCGGUCCAGCGAGCUCCAGCGAGCUCCCAGGUCCUCCGGCGAGCAUGGAAUUCUUGUUGCAGACAUUAAACAGGUUAGAAUCUGCUCGCUGUGGCUCCGUUUGGCACGGUUUUGGAUUAAGUUUUCAGCAAUGAUUUGAUUUUGUCUACUGAAUAUUUUUGCGGAAGUACCACAACACUGCUAGAGAAGGUUAACGAGAACAACAACACCAUGGAGCCUCUUCACUACCCAGUCAUGGCGCCGGCGGAGGUUGAGCUGCCGGCCCCGGCGGCCUCAAGUGCAGACGGCCAAAUCUGUGUUGACGGCGCCGCUCCAGAGCCGGCCAGUGCAGACAAGGGUCAAGGUUCAGAGCACUCUAUAGAGCAAGUGGAUCCAAAAACUCCGGGGUGGACGCAAAGAGUGCUCCUUGCCCUCACAGGAUCUCAGCCCUGGAGAGAUCAGUCCGGCGAUUUGCAGAAAAAACAGGAGACUUUGUCAUUGUGCAAAGAUAGGAACAAGUUUCGACACACUUGGUGAGGCGUACGAUUUUUACAAUUUAUAUUCGUGGGCGAAAGGAUUCGGUAUUAGGUAAGGGAAGAGCAGGCUAAAUGUGGACCAGACAAAAUGCAUGCAAAAGAUAGUCUGUGGGUGUGCGGGGAGACCGCUUACGUGAGCAAACAUCGCAACUAAAAGACAUGCUGGCAAAAUCUACACACGAACUAUGUUCAAGCAGUUUUGCCAUAUAGUAUAUGAGUGCGGAGCAUACCAGAUGGAAGAGAUCGAGAAAGGAAAAACGUAUAUUACAAUUCAUACCGAGGCAGAGCGGCGGGAGAAGUGGUGAGGAAUUUGAUUGUGAAUGCGGCCAGUUCGCACACAUGCGGAUGCUCUACAGCCAUGUCUUGAAGGCUCUGGACUUUAUUCUUAUUAAGGAAAUACCUUGGAAGCACAUAGUGAAAAGAUGGACUAGAGAUGCCAGACACAUCCUACUCCCUCAUCUGACACAAUAUCAGAAGGACAAUGCUCACAAAAAUUCAUUUAGUUAUAGGCAUUUCAAUAUGUCGAUGCAUGACAUGAAGCUUGUCCGUAUGGGGGACACGAGUGUUGAAGCAUAUACACAUCUAAUUUCUAUGAUCAAGAAUUGUGCUGCUGGAAUGACACCAUUUGCUGAAAUAAUAAGAGACAGUCUUGGAUUAGAGGACAUGAUGGCAGAGAAUGGAGAUGUUGUUAACCAGGUUCAGACACAAGUUGGUAUUCAGUUUGCACCAAACAGAGUGGAUAGUGUUGUUGGCAACGACGAAACAACUCGGCUAACGAGUCUGGUAAUAGGCUGUCAGGAUUAUUACCUCUGGCUAAGAGGAAGGACAUGGGAAGGCCUACGACAAGCAGAGAGAAGGCGUUUUAUGAAGGUUUGAGUAAGAGGACAAGAUUUUGCACGAUUUUUCGGCGGCAAGGCCACAAAUGUACAACUUUGCCCUGAUCGCGGGGAUGUCCCAAAGCAGGUGAGGAAACCUGCACGAUGCAAAAGUUGUGGGGUGGACAAAGCAGCAGAACUCAGACUGAAUAAUUUACAAACUUAGAUUGUUUCAGCAUGACAUAUUUCUGUCAUGGCCGGUGACUCAUGCCAGAGCAAGCACAGGGGACUGGAGUGCUAAUGUGACAUUGGGAGCGUCAGUGUGUGUGGGCACAGCCGGUCCUUGUGCGUGUGAGUGUCGGGCGCUGGUGUGGUGUACGUGAGGCCCUGGUUAGGAGUCGUGUGUGGUUUGUGGGUGUAUAAACACCCAGUCUUGUAAUGUGUUUUGGUGGAAAAAAAGAAAAUAAGUAGCAAAA